UCUGUCAGAGAGCACUUCUUAGAACAAACGCAGAAUACAAAAUAACUCGUGCCGCCUUUCUAAAGCCCCCAGGAAGCUUUGGGGUGACAUUUUAACUGCCUCCUAUCUUGAUCUCAGCCCUUGGUUUGCUUUCUUUAAGCACCCAUCAGAGGCUGGGCACCAAGGAUACAACCAGGUGUGAACCAGGGGCCCCGGGGAUGCCAAGGAUUGAAGAUACAAACGCACAUACGCACACGUGCACACCGGUGCAUGUGUUCAUUUCCCUUCCAGCCCUCGAAACAGCAGUCUAUGGGGGAAGCCACGCCGACCUGGCCACGGAACGUACAUGCGUGCACGCCCAAUGAGGUGUAAGACACUUUGCUUUUCUGCACACACGACUUCAUUUAUCCUCACUGUGAAAGUGUCUUAAACACAGAAGUCUCAAGUGUCCUGACAUGACAAUGAAGACAACACCUCCAUUCCAGCAAGACUUCACGAUCCAUAGAUUAGACUAUCUUUCCAGAACCAGAGCACGAUCGGACAUCUCCGUCAACGUGGAGUGAGCUACGCAGUAUCGUAGAAGCCAAGGGAGAGGGUUUGGCCACCUAGGGUCGGUGGGGCCUCUGGGACCACCCAGACCAACCCCCACAUCCUCUCUCUGAGGGUGGCACGCACCUCGUUCCUAUUUCACGGAUUGGAAAUCGAGGCUCACGGAGGUUCUGCCCUGUUGAAGGAAGCACACGUGCCGAAUGGAAAAUUGGCCGCGGAGACGCAGAUGUGUCCACAUCACGUAUCAGUGACGCGGGAGUAAAUACACGUGAGAGUCUGGAACGUGGAUGAAGGCUGAUACGGUCCAUAUUUGUUUCUAUUUCAUUGCAGAGUGGUAGAGGGGGAGGUGGGUCCUCACCGCUGUACUCUUGUCCUUGGUCAUAGAUUCUUUUCUUGGGGAAAUCUUCAGUACCAAGUAACUAGGAAGCCUCCUCUCCCAAAUGUGAUUCCACUCUCAACCCCAUUCUGCAUUUUACCGAGCAUCUUGGGCCGAAAAGAAAUUAAAUAAAUAAUGAUAGAAGUCCAUUUGACUUCAGCAUAGCAGAACUAAAAGAGUUUUUGAACCAAGACUAAAUUGAUCGUGGUAAUCUGCCAUCGGGAGAGGAGCCAAGCAGCACUUUUGGCUUCCGGCAUCGUACCAAAGUCCCAGUCUAGCGGAGAGAGCGUUUUGCUAAAUCAAAAGGGACGGUGCUGUGUUUCAAAGUGCGUUUAUAUUCUAACAUCUCAUGAGCCUAAAAUACCGGCAGGUCUAGCACUAGCACUUUCUCGUUUCUUUCUUUCUUUCUUUUUUAAUGAUUCCAGGAGUCCGUAGGAGGAGGCACUGUGGGUGCUGUUAGGGUCCAGUCUCACACGAGCCCCAGCACUGGCCCCGCCGAUGCCCACGCCGAUACCACGUCCCCGGCCUCUGUUUGGUUGUCAUUUGCACUGAACCCGCCCCGCCCUCCUUGGUGGCUGUGCCUCCAUGUUGACGAAAUGUGACCCAUCCGAUCUGCCAGGAGGCAAAUCUUCAGAUGUCUCCCAGGCCAGGAAAGAGAACAUGUUGGUCUCAAGAAUGGACCGGGCUCGAAGCCAUCCUUCUUACAUUCCUUCCUCGGUCUCCCGCAUCUAAUAUCGAACUGCCUCUUGGACGUGACUCACCCGUGGCCAUUCUGCCUUUGCAUCCCCCAGCUGAUGGGAAGCUCACCACGUCACCAGUCCGUUACAGCCACUCUCUUGGUAAGUUUAGGAGCUGCAGGAGUUGGUGUUUGCCCGUAUUUCUAACCUACUCUCCCCGCCCCUCAUCUCUGUAAGCAGAGGUUCGAUCUCCAACCAUGGCGACUCUGUCCUUAAGAGCGUUAGAGUUUGUCCAGCCUCAGAGGUGGUGAAUGCGAGCUCUCUGGCCCGAGCGGCAGCUCUGGGCAUGGCUGCUGAGCCCCUUGGUCUCAGUUCAGGGGGUACCCUUCAGGAACACCUUCCCUGACCGCCCACCUGCAGUGGCCCCUCACCAUGCCACCGCUGUCACCUGCAUUCACUCCCUAUCCCGGGACCACCUCUUAUUCAUCCCCUUCACGGCACUGACCGCUGUUCACCUGUGUGUGGUUGUCUAUUCGUCACAUACCUGUUGACUUACGUAUGUGCCACCACGUCCCCUUUAUGUAUAUGUUUGUUUAUCUGUGUGCCAGUAUGUGCUGUCUACAUGCAUGUCAUUUAUUAUUAAAUAGACAUAUUUAUCAA